UACGUAGGGUGCAGGCGUUAAUCGGAAUUACUGGGCGUAAAGCGUGCGCCGGCGGUUUGCUAAGACAGGUGUGAAAUCCCCGGGCUUAACCUGGGAACUGCGCUUGUUACUGGCAGGCUUGAGUGUGGCAGAGGGGGGUGGAAUUCCACGUGUAGCAGUGAAAUGCGUAGAGAUGUGGAGGAACACCGAUGGCGAAGGCAGCCCCCUGGGCUAACACUGACGCUCAUGCACGAAAGCGUGGGGAGCAAACAGG
rnacentral:rRNA from 1 species